AUUGAACGCUGGCGGCAUGCCUUACACAUGCAAGUCGAACGAGUGGCGGACGGGUGAGUAAUGUAUCGGAAACUGCCCAGUAGCGGGGGAUAACUACUCGAAACGGUGGCUAAUACCGCAUACUAUUAGAGUGGCCCAGAUGGGAUUAGCUAGUUGGUGGGGUAACGGCUCACCAAGGCGACGAUCCGUAGCUGGUCUGAGAGGACGACCAGCCACCCUGGGACUGAGACACGGCCCAGACUCCUACGGGAGGCAGCAGUGGGGAAUAUUGGACAAUGGGAGAAACCCUGAUGCAGCCAUGCCGCGUGUAUGAAGAAGGCCUUCGGGUUGUAAAGUACUUUUGGCGGCGAAGCGGUAGCUGCAGAAGAAGCACCGGCUAACUCCGUGCCAGCAGCCGCGGUAAUAC
rnacentral:rRNA from 1 species